GGCCUCGUAGCUCAGUUGGCUAGAGCGCUGGCCUUCCCCUUGCUGGCGUGGAUUCGAAUCCCACCGAGGCUG
rnacentral:tRNA from 1 species